CACCAGUCCAACCUCUCAGGAAUUAUACUUUGAGAGAGCAGUUGUUCAUCCUAAACGCUCCUAACAAAUGAAAGGACAGGUAUUGUUGCCCUGGGCGGAGCUGCUGGGUUUAAAGAGCCAGAACCCACCUGGGCUGAACACAGCCCCAGCAGCCUCUCUAGAUCUGCAUCCGUCUCUCAGCCCUGCUCUGCAGCUGUAUCAUGAAGAGAGUGACCCGGGCCCUUCUCCUCACACUGGCAGGCCUGCCUGCCUUGGAAGCCAAUGACCUGGUUGGUGAGUGAGGCCCCAGACUGCCCUGCUCCUGCUGCCCCACAUUUUCCCUCUAAGACCCCACAUCUUCCCUCUAAGACCCCACAUCCUGCCUCCUGGUUCUGGUUCUUAUUUUUUCCCCCCCACUUCCUGCAGAUAAAGACAGUCCCUUCUACUAUGGUAAGAGCUGAUCUCCCUCAUCC